ACAUAAGACGUCUCUUUCAUUCCAGCGAAAGCCUCCGGAGGGCCUCUUUCUCCCUCUCUCUUUUCUCUGCUCUGGGAUCGGGUUUAAUUGCUUCUCCCCCAGGGAGAGGGCUUCCUAAAAUAGCCCCUGGCUCCUCCGUAGGGUGCUCCUUCCUUUUGAGUCUGUGGCCAAAGUACCAACCCCGCACUUUCUUCCUUUCCUUUCUUUUUCUUUCUCCCCCCCCCCCCUUACUGCGUUGAAGAGGCGCAAGGUGUAAAAACAGUCACACAAAAGCACGUCCCACAAUUAAAGCUGCGUUGGUUAGGUUGCUUUCAAAGAAGUUUGUUUUUUUUUUUUCCCUCCUCUCUCGGAAGCCUCCUGCAUCUCUCACAUGCUAGUUGAGCUUUAAUAGGGAGGGAGUAAUGGAGAACUCCUCGGCUCUGUAAUAGCUCUUCACUUGACUGCAGCCAGCACUAACAGCGGGAGCAGGCAGAGAUAAGAGAGAGGGAGAGAGGAAGAGGGUGUGUGUGGGGAGAGAGAGGGAGAGAGGAGCGAGGACACGCUCACACUAAAGCGGCCACUUCGUCUUCCUCCCUUCCCGCUUUUCCCCAUCCUAGGAUCCAAUGAUAGCUGGACAAGUCAGCAAGCCCUUGCUGUCAGUGCGGAGUGAAAUGAAUGCAGAGUUGGGAGGUGAGGACAAGGCUGCUACUUCAGACAGCGAGCUGAAUGAGCCCCUGCUUGCGCCGGUGGAAUCCAAUGACAGCGAGGACACUCCCAGCAAGCUCUUGGUGGCGCUCCGGCUACUUUUGCCAAGAAGUGGUGUUCGGAGAGUAAAUAACUGAAGUGGAAAGGCCAGACUCUUAUCUUCACGGACCCUCACAAAUGGAGAAGCAGAGAUGCGGAUGUGGAAGGAGAAAGUGUCAGGAAAAUCGCCAUCAAUCACAGAGCGAGGAUAUUGGGCUGCAUUUGGCAUCAGUGUUGCUGUGUUUUAAAAAGGAUAAAUAUGCUUCCCUUUAGGAAUGUAGGCGCAGCUCUUCCCGCCGUGAGAGCCUCUUCACUGGGAGUCCUCCCCCCCCCGGAUGCACAGGGUGAGACGCGGUCCAGGCUAUUCCUGUGAUGGAGAGGGUGCCUCUUGGACGUCUUCCUUCCCUGCAUCCUCACCUGCCCCCACCUGACUUUUGUGAGAUAGACUGUGAAUGUCUGAUAAAAGCUGGGUGUUUUAGGUGCAUUGCCACAUUGAAUGCCAACCAAGGGAAGGAAGGAAGGAAGGAAGGAAGGAAGGGGUCAUUAUGAGGUUGAUAAUACAUACAAAUAAUUACCGUAUUACUUGGCACAUAGAACUUUACAUAUAAAGAAAAUUAUACUGACAUCUCUACAAAAGGAUCAAGGGAAAAGAGGACAUUUUUUAACGUUUAACGUAUAUAUUUUUUAUUUUAUUUUUGUCUUUUUAGGGCCUCACCUGCAGCAUAAGGAAAUUCCCAGGCUAGGGGUCAAACUGGAGCCGGUGACUACAGCUCCGAUUCGACCCCUAGCCUGGGAACCUCCAUAUGCCGUGGGAGUGGCUCUAGAAAAGGCAAAAAGACAAAAACAAACAAACAAAAAAAACAAACAUUUNUGGACAUACGGGUAACCUCCUAGCUCCCUUUCCUACCUACUCCCCCCAAAAAACCAAAAAAGCAAAAGCUCAUGAUGAGAUUUUUCUGUAGGUCUGUGGGCUGCAAUUAGAGCCUUGCCGAUAUUAGAAACAAACCCAAGUAUUUGCUGCGAGAGGCUGGAGGCUGGGCUAUUGUAAAAAGAGCUGCUGCUACUCCAACCCUAGCUCUCGUCCCCACCAUACCAUGAUGAAGAUGUCAGGUAAGGAAGCACGGACCAGCUCCCCACUUUUCCACCCCCUCCCUCCACCCCAGUGCACGCGCACACACACACUUCACAUGAGCUUGUAUCGGAAUUUUAAAGCAGGUUAUUUAUCAGCUUUGAGCAUUUUCCAAGCACACUUGGCGUCAGAGCUCUCAGUAGCUCUUGCGUGUUUCACCACGUGGCUAAGGAGCCUGGGAGACGUUCAGACCCAGGCCAGUUGCACUGCCUGGAGUGUCUGGGUCUCAUCAUCCCCUUGUUCUCAGGCUUGGCAGCCAGUCGAGAGGGGAAGCUGUGAUUUCGUUAGUGAAAGUGUAACUGAUAGAUCCACGACUGAGGACAGCUAUCUUCUACGUGAUUUCUCUCUCGAGGCAUCGGUGCCCGGUCUCCCCGUUCGAGGGGUAGGUAACUGAGAAUUGAUAGGAAACAAUCACCUGGAGAGUCCACCAAGCGACGUAUUUGUGUGGUCACUGACAAUGACAUUCAGUAGACGUGUGGAUGAUUAAGGCCGGUUUCUUGCUGGGGAAGAAAAGCCUCUAUAGAGGGGGUUCCUGCUGUGGCUCAGGGGGUGACGAACCCAUCUAGUAUCCAUGAGGACGCAGGUUCGAUCCCUGGAGGUGUUGCCGUGAGCUGUGGUGGAGGUCGCAGAUGCAGCUUGGAUUCUGAGUUGCUAUGGCCGUGGUGUAGGCCGGUGGCUACCGCUCUGAUUGGACCCCAGCCUGGAAACUUCCCUAUGCUGCAGGAGCGGCCCUAAAAAAAAGGCGGAAAGUAAAUGAGUAAAUUCCUCUGUAGACAUAAACAGUCUUGUCAGCAUUUGCCGAUGCGGAAAAUGGCUCUCAAAGCAGUGUUCAGGAUUUGAGGCCCCUCGAUGAGCAGGUGUCUUGGCCAGGGCCUGCUUUGUGGGCCAUCAACCACUGCAGUGGCCCAUGGCCCCCCAUCUAGCAGGGCCCCAUGUUUGGAGUUUAAUGGUGCGAGGUCACUGUCUUGAAAUUCUGAGUAGUUUAUCUGUGAAAUUGUGUUUUGUGAGUCAAGUGCAGUGGGACCACAAGAGCAGGGGGUUGGAGGCAGGGAGGCUUGGAUCGGAGGCUGGGCUAUUGUAAAAAGAGCUGCUGCGGUCCAGCCACCACCUCCCCAGGACAGGGCACUCCUCAGCCACCUGCUCCUUUCCCCUGGUGCCCCUGGACUCCCCGAAGCCUGAGUGGAGCUGUGGCCUUCUGCCUUCUGCCCAUCUCUGGGGCCUGGGCUCAGGUGCAGGGAAGGUUAUGGGAUCAGCGUGCAACUCACCCGGAUCCAGGCGUCCAGCGCAUCCCAGCGGGAAGGUUGCAGUCCCUUGAGUUCACCCGUCCGCCUGCCAUGGAUUAAGCCUGCAGCCCCGGGGAAGGGGAAGAUUGACUUCUCAGUCCCAGGCUAGGGACUGGCAUUUUCAUUUGGCAUGGAGCCCCAUGAAUUAUGUAGCCGGCCCUCGUGUAGAGUUGAGCACAGAUGAAGCGAGCUCCCGGGAUGGGCUUAAACACACAGGGACUGCACAGCCUCCAUGUCCAGGGGGCUGUGCCAGAGUCCCAU
rnacentral:lncRNA from 1 species